CCAUUAGGAAUUCGUUAAACCAUAAGAACAUUUGUAAAUGCUCCGACUUAUGAGUAAAAAUUGGUUCCGCCAAGAACAAAUUAAGCACCUCUGUAAUGCCUACCAUCAUCGACUCGCAAUCCUGAAACUCGCGCUCAUGUUAACCACCGCACACCACACACACAAAGCACUCCAUUCCGAUCACGCAGGCCUCGAUCGGAUACGUUGAGUAUCGAGCUCGGCAACGAGAGAGGCAAACAUUGCAUUACGGCUCGACGGCAGCAUACACACAAGCGACGUUCAUCGAGAGAGCACUGUUCAUUCCCAGAGAAAGGGAGGCUUUUUUUUUCUCAAGCACAACUACCAUCACCGGCAAUCAGGCGGAGGGAGCUGAUCACGCGAUCGUUCAUAGUGCCAGCAGUUUGCAAGCAUCCAUCGGUCGAAACGGUAGUGGCUCACGUUACGGGCGUAGAAGUGGCUCCAGCUUCAAAAAAAGAGGUGGAAAAUUGAUUUGCUGUUGGAGGCAAUUUCAGUUACACGAAAAAGGUGAACUCGGCCUUUGCAUCGGUGAGACCGACGCUUAGUGCAGCCAACAAAAGGAGGCGGCCAUUUUGCACCACCACGAGAUUGCCAAGCCACAUGUUCUGGAGAAAACUGCACCUCAUUCGACGUAUUUCGUGCACAUCCGAACGCGAUUAGCGCUGUUUUCCCCCGGUUUGACCGUCGGUGAACUCGGUGGUGGCACUCGCCGUCCGUGCAAUUGGCAAAUCAAACCGCACGAGUGACAAUUUUGCAUCGUGGCCCACGAUCAGCCGAAGUCAAGCGCUGACGGAAGAGGCAAGAAACCGCGACGAUCCGUAUACACCGAGAGGACAGGAGCAAAGAGCCUUCGUCAAAGAAGGCUCUUUUUUCUCGUUCCAGUUUCGUCAACAUCAAUCAGGCAGACCGAGCGGGGGUGACCACCGACGUCGGCGCACCGUCGAUCUUGAGACGUUCUCGGUGGCUUUCGGCGGGACGCGGUAGCCAGCUUUCCGGCGCGGGAGCGAAGGGCUCGAAGGCAGCAACGAUCGCAUCGGUAAUCGGAGGAGCGGAUUGGUGAGCGAGUUGGCGCCAAUCAUGAAUCGGACCGUAGGGUCGGCCGGGAACACGCAUCCGGCAGGCGAGGAGGCCCGAAUGAGCGGUCGAGGUUUGUGAUCGGUGGCGAUGCGUGAGUACAAAUAUGAGACAAAUGUUAGUUUCUAAGUAAGAAUAAACAGUUAGGACGUAGAGAGAGGAUUAGGCGUUUAGGUGGCACAAUGCUAGGAGCCAAAUAAAGAUGUUGUCUAAAUGAAUAAGAUUUGAGUUGGUGCU